rnacentral:rRNA from 1 species
UGGCCACAUCACCUUGAAACACCAGUUCCUGUAUGAUCACCAAAGUUAAGCAACAUCAAGCCUGGUCAGUACCUAGAUGGGUGACUGCUUGGGAAUACCAGGUUCUGUAA